rnacentral:tRNA from 1 species
CAAGAUAUAGCUUAAAUAAAGCAUCUAGUUUACACCCAGAAGAUUCCACAAUCCGUGUAUAUCUUGA